rnacentral:rRNA from 1 species
GGAUGAACGCUAGCGGCAGGCCUAAUACAUGCAAGUCGAACGGUGAUAGCAAUAUCAUAGUGGCGCACGGGUGCGUAACACGUAUGCAACCUACCUUAUACUGAGGGAUAGCCUUUCGAAAGGGAGAUUAAUACCUCAUAACACAUUGAACUGGCAUCAGUUUAUUGUUAAAGAUUUAUUGGUAUAAGAUGGGCAUGCGUCCAAUUAGUUAGUUGGCGAGGUAACGGCUCACCAAGACGAUGAUUGGUAGGGGAACUGAGAGGUUAAUCCCCCACACUGGCACUGAGAUACGGGCCAGACUCCUACGGGAGGCAGCAGUAGGGAAUAUUGGGCAAUGGAGGCAACUCUGACCCAGCCAUGCCGCGUGCAGGAAGAAGGCGUUAUGCGUUGUAAACUGCUUUUAUAUAGGAAGAAAUAGACCUUGCGAGGUAAGUUGACGGUACUAUAUGAAUAAGCACCGGCUAACUCCGUGCCAGCAGCCGCGGUAAUACGGAGGGUGCAAGCGUUGUCCGGAUUUAUUGGGUUUAAAGGGUGCGUAGGCGGUUUAUUAAGUCAGUGGUGAAAGACGGUCGCUNCACGAUUGCAGUGCCAUUGAUACUGGUA